rnacentral:rRNA from 1 species
CAAAAACAUGUCUUUUUGAGUAUUAUAUAAGGUCUAACCUGCCCAAUGAGGAAUUGAAUGGCUGCGGUAUUCUAACCGUGCUAAGGUAGCAUAAUCAUUUGUCUUUUAAUUGAGGGCUUGUAUGAAAGGUUGGAUGAAGUAAUAACUUUCUUUAAUUUAAUUUAUGAAUUAAAUUUUUUAGUCAAAAAGCUAAAAUAUUUUUAUUGGACGAGAAGACCCUAUAGAUCUUUACAGGUCAUUAAAUUUAAUAAUUUGGGGAAUUACUUAUUUUUAAUUAAUUUCUUGUUUGGUUGGGGUGAUUGUAGAAUUUUAUGAACUUCUAUUGUUUAGUUUUCAAUAAUUAUUGUUUUAUUGAUCCAUAUAUAAUGAUUAAAAGAUUAAGUUACCUUASGGAUAACASCGUAAUUCUUUC